rnacentral:rRNA from 1 species
CCCUUAGAUGUUCUGGGCCGCACGCGUGCUACACUGAGUAAUUCAAUGGGUAAGGGAACGCUAGAGCAUUACCUAAUCUUGAAAUUUGCUCGUGAUGGGGAUCGACGGUUGCAAUUUUCCGUCGUGAACGAGGAAUACCUUGUAGGCGCAUGUCAUCAUCAUGCGCCGAAUACGUCCCUGCCCUUUGUACACACCGCCAGUCGCUCCUACCGAUUGAGUGAUCCGGUGAGGCUCUGGGACCUGGACGGAAAGAGCGUUUCGCUUGUUCUGUUUGGGAAACUUGGUCGAACCUUAUCAUUUAGAGGAAGGAGAAGUCGUAACA